GACGAACGCUGGCGGCGUGCCUAAUACAUGCAAGUUGAGCGCUGAAGGUUGGUACUUGUACCAACUGGAUGAGCAGCGAACGGGUGAGUAACGCGUGGGGAAUCUGCCUUUGAGCGGGGGACAACAUUUGGAAACGAAUGCUAAUACCGCAUAAAAACUUUAAACACAAGUUUUAAGUUUGAAAGAUGCAAUUGCAUCACUCAAAGAUGAUCCCGCGUUGUAUUAGCUAGUUGGUGAGGUAAAGGCUCACCAAGGCGAUGAUACAUAGCCGACCUGAGAGGGUGAGCGGCCACAUUGGGACUGAGAGACGGCCCAAACUCCUACGGGAGGCAGCAGUAGGGAAUCUUCGGCAAUGGACGAAAGUCUGACCGAGCAACGCCGCGUGAGGGAAGAAGGGUUUCGGAUCGUAAAACUCUGUUGGUAGAGAAGAACGUUGGUGAGAGUGGAAAGCUCAUCAAGUGACGGUAACUACCCAGAAAGGGACGGCUAACUACGUG
rnacentral:rRNA from 1 species